rnacentral:rRNA from 1 species
CUCUUCGGGGAUGAUUAAACCGGCGCACGGGUGAGUAACACGUGAGUGACCUGCCUUUUAGACUGGAACAACUUACCGAAAGGUGAGCUAAUGCCGGAUGAGUUAUAUAAGUGCAUGUUUAUAUAGGAAAAGUUGGGGAGACCUGACGCUGAAAGAUGGACUCGCGUCCCAUUAGCUAGUUGGUAGGGUAAUGGCCUACCAAGGCGACGAUGGGUAGCCGGCCUGAGAGGGUGGCCGGCCACACUGGGACUGAGACACGGCCCAGACCCCUACGGGAGGCAGCAGUGGGGAAUUUUGCGCAAUGCUCGUAAGAGUGACGCAGCGACGCCGCGUGAAUGACGAAGGCCUUCGGGUCGUAAAGUUCUUUCGACAGGGAAGAAAAUGCCUAUAAGUAACUGUGUAUGUAUUGACGGUACCUGUAUAAGCAGCCCCGGCUAACUCCGUGCCAGCAGCCGCGGUAAUACGGAGGGGGCGAGCGUUGUUCGGAGUGACUGGGCGUAAAGAGCACGUAGGCGGUGUUGUAAGUCAUUAGUCAAAGACUAGAGCUCAACUUUAGUAAGGCUUAGUGAUACUAUAAUACUAGAGUAUCAGAGAGGAUUGCAGAAUUCCUGGUGUAGCGGUGAAAUGCGUAGAUAUCAGGAGGAAUACCGUUAGCGAAGGCGGCAAUCUGGCUGGAAACUGACGCUG